UUUUUCCCAGCUCUAUCCGCCUCCUCCCUUCCUUCAGUAAACCCUCUUUCUCCUUUUCCGCGAGGCGCGAGGUACUUACCCCGAGGGCGCGAGCCUCUGGAGAAGCGGGAGCAGCGGAACACAGCGCUAGACCCCCAACCGAGGGGAGCUGUGGAGAAAGGCUUCUAUGCGCGCUCGCGCACGCGCGCUCGCCGGCCAACUCCGGCCUAAAUUGCCGCGGGCCCCCGCGGGGAAGACUUUUUUUUCUCCUUUCGAACGCGCGCGCGCGCGCGCGCGGGGUCUCGCGCUGGGCUUUUUCCUGCCGGGCGCGCGCCAGUGCGCACGCGCGCUCACUCCCCUUGCCUUGGUCAGUCCGCUGGGCGCGGGGUUGGGGAGCUAACCGUUUUGUUGGCCGAGUCCUCCCGCAGUAUCCCCAGGGUCGCUCCUCUGGCGCUCCUAUUCUAGGUCUGGCCCUUCACAUAGCUUCGGAGUGCCGCCACACACGCCGUACCCGUCCCUUGUCUGGAGCCCAGUCGUCGCAGCUCUCAAAAAGCAGCAGUGGCUAAGCUGUUCGGAUUCCUACCGGUUUUUAAACAACAGUCCUGAGGAAGACCAGCAGAUAAUCGACGUGAUGACUUCUCCCAGACUCAUCCCCCUGUGGAAGGACUUUAAAUACCUUCUAAGUGACAUGAUACAGAAAAGCACGGUAAUGUAUAUGUAGGACAGACAUGUUAUUGGUCCCUGUCUGUCAGAAAAGUUAUGAGCCUUUCAGAGGAGCAUAGAUCACCUAUGGAAAGAGGAAGCAGGCAGGGAAGAUCAUAAGGACAACUAUCCCCAUAGCAGGAAGUGGGCCAUCAACUUCCAAGUGAGCCUAGAGACCUCUUGCUGGGACAUUUUGAUAGUGAGAGGUGAACACUUUGGAGCACUGUCAGAAGAACUCACCCUCUGGGAAGAGAGAUUUUUCUAGACGAGAAGGAAGAAGGUACCAGAGAGAACAUUUGCCAACCUCAGGUUUGCUGUGACUUGACUCUGUAGAAGGAUGCCAGGUGCAUGUUUCAUAGCACAUGCUCUGUCACCAUGGGAUCAUAUAUACACAUGUGUAUAUGUGUGUGUGUAUAGAUAGGUUAUUGUCCUCUGUCAAAUUUAAAGGCCAGGUAGCAUGUCCUGAAAGUCUUACUUAGUGCAAUUUUAGGCUUUAAUAAAGCUGCACUAACUUUUGGGACACCCUGUUACUUUACCUGUGGGCAUAUGGCAGUGUACUUGCCUUUAUAAUCUGUUAAAUGUUUCUCUCAUGACAUGUGUACCCUAUUAGACACAAGGGAAAAUGUUCAAGGACAGGUAUAGCUAACUUCACAUUGGAAGGAAUAUCAGUUUCCCCUGAUGCCCACAUAGACCCUACAGUGGUUUGGUUCACCCUUGUGUUGAGGGUUUUGUUCCAUGCUUGUGUAGUGCAGGUGUCCACAGGUGAUAAACUGCAUGUGUGGGUGUCACAGGAGUGAUCCUUGGGGCUGAGGCAGAAAUUUGACAAUGGUUUCGAUUGUGACUUGCGUGAGAAUAUAUUUAGUGUAUGUGUGUUCCUGGUCUCUGAGUUUAAUGCCAUGCCUCUUCCCAGCAAAAUUUAGAUGACCUGAAGACUGAUGUAGUUGUGUUGAGUGACCGGUCCCAGAUCCUAUUCAAAGAGUCUCGCUAUCCUCAAAACAUGCCGCUUAUAUGCUACUACUUCAGUGACGCCCACUUCUUUUCUUCCCUCUCUUGGGUGACAACAAGCACAAAAGAAAUACAGGUAAAACUCCCCAGUCUUUCUUCUCCUUAGCCCAUUCUAAGUGGGGGCCAUGCCUAUGUAACUUCUGACCCUAGAUUAAUCCAGGAAGAUAUACCCCUUGAGUGAACAUGAUCUGGACCCAGGAGUCCUCCUUCAUCCUUUCUCCAGUUACCAUCUCCAUGUUGAGUAAAUAUUAUUCUUUUCCUAAAGUAGGCCAAGGUUAGGGAAAGAGUCCUAGGUUUCCUGAUUUUACAGUAUUUCCACUUCCUCAAACCAGUGGGUAAAGUCACUCUAGGAUCUUCCAACUUCUCCUUAGCAAGAGAAAAAUAGCUGACUACUCUGCCCUUUGCUCUUCUACUAUCUACCCGAGAUACUUUCCAUCUUAUUC
rnacentral:lncRNA from 1 species